rnacentral:tRNA from 1 species
UAGCUCAGUCGGUUAGAGCGUGGUGCUGAUAAUACCAAAGUCGUGGGUUCGAUUCCCAU